rnacentral:rRNA from 1 species
AUUGAACGCUGGCGGCAGGCCUAACACAUGCAAGUCGAGCGGAUGAAGGGAGCUUGCUCCUGGAUUCAGCGGCGGACGGGUGAGUAAUGCCUAGGAAUCUGCCUGGUAGUGGGGGAUAACGUCCGGAAACGGGCGCUAAUACCGCAUACGUCCUGAGGGAGAAAGUGGGGGAUCUUCGGACCUCACGCUAUCAGAUGAGCCUAGGUCGGAUUAGCUAGUUGGUGGGGUAAAGGCCUACCAAGGCGACGAUCCGUAACUGGUCUGAGAGGAUGAUCAGUCACACUGGAACUGAGACACAGUCCAGACUCCUACGGGAGGCAGCAGUGGGGAAUAUUGGACAAUGGGCGAAAGCCUGAUCCAGCCAUGCCGCGUGUGUGAAGAAGGUCUUCGGAUUGUAAAGCACUUUAAGUUGGGAGGAAGGGCAGUAAGUUAAUACCUGGCUGUUUUGACGUUACCAACAGAAUAAGCACCGGCUAACUUCGU